UACGGGGGGAGCAGCGUUGUUCGGAUUUACUGGGCGUAAAGGGCGCGUAGGCGGCCACUGCAAGUCGGUUGUGAAAUCUCCGGGCUUAACCCGGAAAGGUCAAUCGAUACUGCAGGGCUAGAGUGCAGAAGGGGCAACUGGAAUUCUCGGUGUAGCGGUGAAAUGCGUAGAUAUCGAGAGGAACACCUGCGGCGAAGGCGGGUUGCUGGGCUGACACUGACGCUGAAGCGCGAAAGCUAGGGGAGCGAACGGG
rnacentral:rRNA from 1 species